AUUUUGAUGGGAGAUCAGUGAAAAUAAGUCUUUCACUAUUAUAUAAAUCUAACUCGUAUUUCCUAACUUUAUAUGUGUGGCUAGCUACUCUAGGGAUAACAGCGCAAUUUCUCCCGAAAGAUGGUAUUGGAGGGGAAGAUUGCGACCUCGAUGUUGGCUUUAGAUAUCCUAGAGGCGUAGAAGCUUCUAAUGGUGGGUCUGUUCGCCCUUUAAAAUCUAACAUGAGCUGAGUUCAGAACGGCGUGAGCUAGUUCAGUUUCUAUCCUCUUUUAAAAAUGAGCUAAUUUUGUACGAAAGGACUUUUUCGCUAAAGCAACGCUUUGCCCUGGCUCUGUCAUUGCUUAAAUAAUGCUACGCAAUAAACUGAUUAGUUUAUAAAAAGGGUUG
rnacentral:rRNA from 1 species